CACCAGGUUGAUUCUGCCUGACGUGGAUGCUAGUCUCAUAGGUUAAGCCAUGCAUGUGUAAGCGAAGCAUUUUUGUGGAGCGGCGUAAGGCUCAGUAACGGGCGUCUAUUUGAUCUCCCGGUGCGGACAACCUCUGUAACCGGAGGCCAAUACGCGUGAGGCACGGUUUCCGUCGGGUAUCGUGUCGAUAGCUAUUUGUUGUAAUAGCGCGGGAGAGUAAGGAGCCAUCCCAUCAGUUAGUAAGUAGGGUAAGGGCCUACUUAGAUGAAGACGGGUACGGGGAAUUAGGGUUCUAUUCCGGAGAGGGAGCCUGAGAGACGGCUACCAGGUCCAAGGACAGCAGCAGGCGCGAAAAUUACCGAAGCCUCCGGUGAGGGCGGUAGUAAGGAGACGUGAAUACGAUGCACAGGUAAAUAGUGUGCUGGUAACAGGAGGUCAAGACUGGUGCCAGCAUCCGCGGUAAUACCAGCUCCUGGAGUGUCUAUGAUGAUUGCUGCAGUUAAAGUGUUCGUAGUCGGGCUGCAUGACUGGCGUGAAAGACCUUCUUUCAAGGGGGGUACAGCGCGGGGAAAGCAGAGGAUAAGGAGCGUUUUGGGGCCAGGUUAUUAAGCGACGAGAGGUGAAAUUUGAUGACUCGCUUAGGAGCAACAGAGGCGAAAGCGCUGGCCAGGGGCGAAUCCGAUGAUAAAGGACGUAGGCUAGAGGAUCGAAGACGAUUAGAGACCGUUGUAGUUCUAGCAGUAAACGAUGCCGAUGCCGUGGUGCGAUUUGAGUUCGCGACGCGGAAGAGAAAUUCAGUAGGGCCCUGGGGAGAGUACACGCGCAAGCGAGAAAUUUAAAGGAAAUUGACGGAAGAACACCACAAGGAGUGGAGUGUGCGGCUUAAUUCAACUCAACGUGGGACAGCUUACCAGGCCCGACGACCGCACGAGUGUUGUACACGAUAGGUUGGAGAGUGGUGCAUGGCCGUUAACGACAAGUGGGGUGACCUUUGGGUUAAGUCCGGGAAGUAGUGAGACCCCUGCUGUUACGGCAAGCCGUGACAGGACAGGUGCUUAAAGCACAGGAAGGAAGGGUCAAGAACAGGUCAGUGAUGCCCUCAGAUGGUCUGGGCUGCACGCGCACUACAGUGGUCACAGAAAGGAUUAUUGAGAGAUAAUGGUGAUCGAGAGGGAAUGAGCUUUGCAAGAGGCUCAGGAACGAGGAAUUGCUAGUAAUCGCGGGCUCAUUAAGACGCGAUGAAUACGUCCCUGUUCUUUGUACACACCGCCCGUCGUUAUCGAAGAUGGAGUCAGGCGCGAACAAGCGAGAGCGAGUAAGUGCAGGAUUCUAGAUGUGAUACAAGUCGUAACAAGGUAAC
rnacentral:rRNA from 1 species